ACGGGAGGCAGCAGUGGGGAAUAUUGCACAAUGGGGGAAACCCUGAUGCAGCGACGCCGCGUGAGCGAAGAAGUAUUUCGGUAUGUAAAGCUCUAUCAGCAGGGAAGAAAAAUGACGGUACCUGACUAAGAAGCACCGGCUAAAUACGUGCCAGCAGCCGCGGUAAUACGAAUGGUGCAAGCGUUAUCCGGAUUUACUGGGUGCAAAGGGAGCGCAGGCGGUGCGGCAAGUCUGAUGUGGAAGCCCGGGGCUCAACCCCGGUACUGCAUUGGAAACUGUCGUACUAGAGUGUCGGAGGGGUAAGUGGAAUUCCUAGUGUAGCGGUGAAAUGCGUAGAUAUUAGGAGGAACACCAGUGGCGAAGGCGGCUUACUGGACGAUAACUGACGCUGAGGCUCGAAAGCGUGGGGAGCAAACAGGAUUAGAUACCCUGGUA
rnacentral:rRNA from 1 species